UGUUUUUGAUUGUUUCCAUUGAGCAGGGAGUCGUGGUGCCAAGGCGACGGACAGAAGUGUCCCAUCCAAGGAUUUCCUGGAUUGCCAGAGAUGUAAAUAACGGCAUUACCGGAGACGCGCUCUAAUGGCACUUCUACUUCACUUUUACAUGCAGCUUACAACCAAAUUCCACCCAAAAAUAUGCUAUAAAAGCCACGUAAAGAACUGAAACAGAUUGUGAUUGAUCGAUCUGAUAUGCAUACCUUACACAAGACGUCUUUCUGCUGCGGAAACGUCUGAUGUCUAAGUUUUUCAAAAAAUAUACAUAGCAUACCUCAUGAUCACAUACGCUGCAAUGGAAGACUUUUGUGAAAUUGCUUCGGCUUUUUGGCUGUGCAUGGACUUGCAUUGAAGCAAAAUAAAAUCAUAUAUCCAUCGGCUCA